GUGGGGUUGCUCAGUGGUUAGAGCACUGGCUUCUCCUGCAGAGGACCUGGGUUCAGCUCCCAGCACCCACA
rnacentral:tRNA from 1 species